AUGGACGCCAACUGGCGGCCCAUCCAGGGGUCGGACCCUGCAUCCGGCGGUGACCCGCCCCCACCGGAUCAGGCGAUUGGCGCGCCAAUCUGGAUCCAGCCCCAGGCGCGCACCAGGAUCGUCAAUAAGAUAUCCGAGGCUCUAAAGAGGCAUCUGCCAGUAUCUGCAAUGUCUCACCCAGAUGGACUGAACCAACUUCAACAAAUCGCUGUGCGAUUCGAACAGAGGAUCUAUGAUGCAGCAACCAGCCAGUCUGAUUAUUUCUGGAAGAUUUCUCUGAAAAUGCUCGCUAUGGAGACGAAGACACAACAGGCUCCUGGAAAUGAUCAUGUAAUUCCAAAUCAAAACAACUCCGGUGUCAACCAAACAUCAAAGAUGCAGAAUAGAUAUGCCAUGGCACAGAACGCAAUUAAUAAUGGCUUGGAACAAGGCACUUCACAAGAUAUUUAUGCUGCACAAAUACAAAUGGUAGGAAGGCAGCAACAACAACAAUCUCAACAAUUAAUUUAUCACCAGCAUCAACGGCCUUCUCUUCAGAGUCAGCAGCCCAAUAUUACAUUACAACCACAGCAACAGCAUGCUCAGCAGCCCGCAAUGGGUUUGAUGCAACCUCGGUCUCAACCCAACCAACUUCAAGAAUCGCAACAGCAUAUUAUGUCGCAGUUCCAGGCUCAGCCUAACCAACUAAAAAAGCAAUUAGGGAUGCAGCAGCAAUUCUCCAUGCAGCAAAGAGUUCAAACUUCAGGAGGCAUGCUCUUGCAGCAAAAUAACAUGGAUCAGAAAAAUGUAUUUAUUCAGGCACAGAAGGGCCUUCAAGAGGCUUCCUCUAGUACAUCUGCGGACUUUACUGCUCAAUCAGGCCAUGCAGGUGCAGGUGAUUGGCAAGAGGAUAUAUAUCAAAUGAUAUCUAGCUUGAAGGACCAAUACUUUGCAGAAAUUAUUGAAUUGUUCAAUAAGAUAUCUGUGAAGCUACAUCAUGUUGACAGCAUUAUACCACCUCAAAAGCCAUCUGAACAGUAUGAUAGCAUGAAGAGCUUUAAAAUAAUGUUGGACCGUAUAUUACAAAUGCUGCAAAUGAGCAAGAGCACUAUCCAACCUGCAUCCAACCUGCUAUGA
rnacentral:rRNA from 1 species